CAGCCGCCGCGGUAAUACGUAGGUGGCAAGCGUUGUCCGGAAUUAUUGGGCGUAAAGCGCGCGCAGGCGGCUUCCCAAGUCCCUCUUAAAAGUGCGGGGCUUAACCCCGUGAUGGGAAGGAAACUGGGAAGCUGGAGUAUCGGAGAGGAAAGUGGAAUUCCUAGUGUAGCGGUGAAAUGCGUAGAGAUUAGGAAGAACACCGGUGGCGAAGGCGACUUUCUGGACGAAAACUGACGCUGAGGCGCGAAAGCGUGGGGAGCAAACAGGAUUAGAUACCCCCGUAGUCCCUGUCUCUUAUACA
rnacentral:rRNA from 1 species